rnacentral:rRNA from 1 species
AUCAGGUAGGAAUACCCGCUGAACUUAAGCAUAUCAAUAAGCGGAGGAAAAGAAACCAACAGGGAUUGCCCUAGUAACGGCGAGUGAAGCGGCAACAGCUCAAAUUUGAAAUCUGGCGCAAGCCCGAAUUGUAAUUUGUAGAGGAUGCUUCUAGGCAGCGGCCGGUCUAAGUUCCUUGGAACAGGACGUCAUAGAGGGUGAGAAUCCCGUAUGUGACCGGUUGGCACCUUCCACGUAGCUCCUUCGACGAGUCGAGUUGUUUGGGAAUGCAGCUCUAAAUGGGAGGUAAAUUUCUUCUAAAGCUAAAUACCGGCCAGAGACCGAUAGCGCACAAGUAGAGUGAUCGAAAGAUGAAAAGCACUUUGGAAAGAGAGUUAAAAAGCACGUGAAAUUGUUGAAAGGGAAGCGCUUGCGACCAGACUUGUCGGCGGUGUUCCGCCGGUCUUCUGACCGGUCCACUCGCCGUCGGCAGGCCAGCAUCAUCUGGAGCCGCCGGAUAAAGGCGGAGGGAAUGUAGCUCCCCUCGGGGAGUGUUAUAGCCUUCCGUACAAUACGGCGCGCUCCGGGUGAGGUCCGCGUCUCGGCAAGGAUGCUGGCGUAAUGGUCGUAAGCGGCCCGUCUUGAAACACGGACCAAGGAGUCGAUUAUCUAUGCGAGUGUUCGGGCAUCAAACCCCUACGCGUAAUGAAAGUGAACGGAGGUGGGAACUACGGUGCACCAUCGACCGAUCCGGAUGUCUUCGGAUGGAUUUGAGUAAGAGCAUAGCUAAUCGGACCCGAAAGAUGGUGAACUAUGCCUGAAUAGGGUGAAGCCAGAGGAAACUCUGGUGGAGGCUCGCAGCGGUUCUGACGUGCAAAUCGAUCGUCAAAUUUGGGUAUAGGGGCGAAAGACUAAUCGAACCAUCUAGUAGCUGGUUCCUGCCGAAGUUUCCCUCAGGA